CUUCACAGCCGUUUCUCUCGUCAUCCCGUCAAAGCCGUCCCUCUCCGGUAUUUUAAACUUUCCUUCACGGAAUCGGAUCCGCUUUCAUUUUAACUUCUGCAAAAUGAGUUUAUAAGCAGCAGUGUUGGCUUGAACUUUCCGAGGGGGUACGCUUUGGUUUGGUCUGUUUUCCGGGGCGCACGGCGUGUUUUUUUGCGCUCUCUGCCACCAUGGAUAAACCGCGUCCUGCGGAUCCGUCCUACUCCUUCUGUGGGGCAAAAUGAGGCAAACGAAGCAGAGACGCAGGUUGAGAGAGUCUGGGAGGUCUGUGCGUAACUCCACUGAAAUAAUAGAUGAAACAAACUCCUUGAUCUGAGAAGAGAAUGUGGAGACAAGAUAAGGAGGAUCUGGCACCAAUAUGAGAGACACGCAUAUGCAUCAAGAUGAUGACAGGAAUUACCAGACCCGCUGAGUCUCAUCAGGAGAGAACCAUUCCUUCAGAAACAUCAAAAUCAGAGGCUAAAUUGUUAGACGUUUCAGUACAAACUGACAGAAGAGGCUAAGGGGUGUUUGGAACUUCAUAUACACAAUAUACCUGGG